GCUUCGAUGGUGUAGCUGGUUAUCACUUCUGUCUCACAUUCACGGUGUCCACAGGCGGUCCUCAGUUCGAACCUGGGUCGAAGCA